UUUUGAAUAUUUUUAAUUCAGUUCCAACAUAUAUUUUUUGUUUUUCUAAUUACAAUAAAAAUGUAUGAAGAAGUAAAAGCAUUUUUAGAGUUUAUUGAUAAUAUUGGAGAAGAAAAUCGUCCGGGAAGUAUACAAAAGCGAUAUAUUCAAGAUAAAAAUAUAAUCUAAAAUACAAUGGAGUAUUACAAUAUUGAAGUUCAUCAGCGCAUUAACUUAAACAACAAAGGUUUUAUGCUACUUAUAGGAAUAUAACCAGUUUUUAUGAGGAAGCCCACUUUCCAAAAAUGUACAGGUACUAGAAGAGAAAUUACUGUUCAACUGAGAAUUAUGUAUAUUACUGUUCAACAACAAGUUUAUCAAGUUAUUCAAUAUUUGAUCUAAGAGCAUUAAGAGUGAAAUUGUGAAAUGGAAAGAAGUGAAAUUCCAGGAUUAUUAAUAGGAAUAGAUGACAGUAGUGGGUAUGCAUGCAGACACUAUCUACUUACCCCAGUAUUACAGCCAGGUAAUGAUCAAGAAAAUAAGAU